UUGACAAUGGUCCUGACAUUAUGAUGAUAAAAUAUGUCCAUCUUAUUUGAAUUAAUUGAUGUUAAAAAUAGUUUAAAAACAAAAUACCUUAUUGAAAUGGUGAGGACGUUUGAAGAGCCCUCUGCCAACUAGUUGGUCGCCCUUUACCACGACCACCAUCAUGGCCACUUAACACCGGUAACAAACGAGCGGAAAUGGACUAGUCAGGUAUGGACUAGUGAGGUAUGGACCAGUCAGGUAUGGACCAGUCAGGUAUGGACCAGUGAGGUAUGGACACGCUGCGAGGCCUCCUGCCCUCCCUACAUCAUCAUCUUCAUCUUUAAAGCUUUAUACAACCCUCAUCUCUCUCUGUGUCGGUGUGUGUGUGCGUGUGUGUGCGUCUA